rnacentral:rRNA from 1 species
CAGACUCCUACGGGAGGCAGCAGUGAGGAAUAUUGGUCAAUGGGCGAGAGCCUGAACCAGCCAAGUAGCGUGCAGGAUGACGGCCCUAUGGGUUGUAAAACUGCUUUUAUAAGGGAAUAAAGUGAGUCUCGUGAGACUUUUUGCAUGUACCUUAUGAAUAAGGACCGGCUAAUUCCGUGC